rnacentral:rRNA from 1 species
AUUGAACGCUGGCGGCAUGCCUUACACAUGCAAGUCGAACGGUAACAGGUUAAGCUGACGAGUGGCGAACGGGUGAGUAAUGUAUCGGAACGUGCCCAGUCGUGGGGGAUAACUGCUCGAAAGAGCAGCUAAUACCGCAUACGACCUGAGGGUGAAAGCGGGGGAUCGCAAGACCUCGCGCGAUUGGAGCGGCCGAUAUCAGAUUAGGUAGUUGGUGAGGUAAAGGCUCACCAAGCCGACGAUCUGUAGCGGGUCUGAGAGGACGACCAGCCACACUGGGACUGAGACACGGCCCAGACUCCUCCGGGAGGCAGCAGUGGGGAAUUUUGGACAAUGGGCGCAAGCCUGAUCCAGCCAUGCCGCGUGCGGGAAGAAGGCCUUCGGGUUGUAAACCGCUUUUGUCAGGGAAGAAAAGGUUCUGGCUAAUACCUGGGACUCAUGACGGUACCUGAAGAAUAAGCACCGGCUAACUACGUGCCAGCCGCCGCCGUAAAAC